UAGAUACCCUGGUAGUCCACGCUGUAAACGAUGAGAACUAGGUGUCGUGGGUGUUGACCCCCGCGGUGCCGUAGCUAACGCAUUAAGUUCUCCGCCUGGGAAGUACGGUCGCAAGAUUAAAACUCAAAGGAAUUGACGGGGGCCCGCACAAGCGGUGGAGCAUGUGGUUUAAUUCGACGCAACGCGCAGAACCUUACCCAGACUUGACAUCCUGGAAAGCUGGCCCAAAAGUCGGCGUGCCCGCAAGGGA
rnacentral:rRNA from 1 species